rnacentral:rRNA from 1 species
GACGAACGCUGGCGGCGUGCUUAACACAUGCAAGUCGUACGGUAAGGCCCUUUCGGGGGUACCCGAGUGGCGAACGGGUGAGUAACACGUGCUUAACCUGCCCACAACUUUGGGAUAACGCUAGGAAACUGGUGCUAAUACUGGAUAUGUGCUCCUUCUGCAUGGUGGGGGUUGGAAAGCUCCGGCGGUUGUGGAUGGACUCGCGGCCUAUCAGCUUGUUGGUGUGGUAGUGGACUACCAAGGCGGCGACGGGUAGCCGGCCUGAGAGGGUGACCGGCCACAGUGGGACUGAGAUACGGCCCAGACUCCUACGGGAGGCAGAAGUGGGGAAGAUUGCACAAUGGGCGCAAGCCUGAUGCAGCAACGCCGCGUGCGGGAUGACGGACUUCGGGUUGUAAACCGAAUGCAGCAGGGACGAAGCUUUUUGUGACGGUACCUGCAGAAGAAGCACCGGCUAACUACGUG